UGAGCUGCAGGACAGGAAUGAAAUCCAAAGGGAUCCCUCCAUGUGGACAGUCCCACCCCUGGUCCCAGGGCAGAGCUUCAGCUACGUCCAUGGGGCCUCCUCAGUGUCCCUGCUGGGCCAGACGGUGGGUCAGAGUUUGCAGGCGGCAGCUGACCGCUGGCCCCACAGAGAGGCCCUGGUGUUCGUGCAGGAUGGAGUCCGUAAGACCUUCUCCCAGUUUCAGGAGGACGUAGGUCUUUCAUCCACCCUCUCUUCUAAUCUAUUUCAUCAUAUCUUAACAUAACAGGACUGUAGAGGUUUAGGAGGGGUAACAUAACAGGACUGUAGAGGUUUAGGAGGGGUAACAUAACAGGACUGUAGAGGUUUAGGAGGGGUAACAUAACAGGACUGUAGAGGUUUAGGAGGGUAACAUAACAACAGGACUGUAGAGGUUUAGGAGGGGUAACAUAACAGGACUGUAGAGGUUUAGGAGGGGUAACAUAACAGGACUGUAGAGGUUUAGGAGGGGUAACGUAAC
ensembl:lncRNA